rnacentral:tRNA from 1 species
AGUGAGUUGGCAGAGCCAUGCACUUGACUUAGGAUCAAAAGACAGGGAUACCUCCCCCCUACUCACUA